GGACCCUUGGCGCAGUGGUAGCGUAUCUGAUUCCAGUUAUCUGAAAUUGGGAUAUCCAGAGGGUCGGGCGUUCAAGUCGCCCAGGGUUCA